AACAUCUCAGUUAUUAUCUUACACUUAACAGAAUUUUCCUGAUUGACCCAUCAAGGAUAGGGGCAGAGACAAGAUGGCAGAGAGGAUAUUAAAACUCACCCUAGAGAUACUCUUCCAACUUACUGGAGAGGAUUAUACAGUAGUGAAGAAGACCUCUAGAGAAAGCUGUCAGGCCUCUGAGGGAAGAACCUUGAGCCCAAGCACAGGGCCUCCACUUCACCCCCUGACACAUGAGGAAAUCAAUGAACAGAAGAUCCUAGAACUCAUCCACAAGAUGGUGGAGCUGCUGACUGGAGAGGUUCCUAUAAGGUGUCAGGAUGUCACUGUCUAUUUCUCCAUGGAGGAGUGGGAGUAUGUA